rnacentral:lncRNA from 1 species
UCCCACACAAUACAGGACUGUACUCCAUAUUCUCCACUGCAACAUACCUCAACACACCAUACGUCACCACACCAAACAGGACCUUUACGACACUGUAGUGCACUACACUGCACCAUAUCUCACCACACCAGACAGUCCAACACAUUACAGGACUGUAAACUAUAUUCGACUCUGCACCAUAUCUCGACACACAAUACAAGACUGUACGGAAUUGUACUGCAUUUUACUAUACCUCACUGGCACUGAUUUACAUUUCACCAUACAUCAACACACAAGACAGUUAUUCUAUUAUUUUGUUUCUUUCAGCGGUACCUGCAGAAUAUGUGCUCAGUUAGUUACCUUGCCAGCUGACUUUAUAAAUGGUUACUUCAGACAGGCCUUGUGAUGUUAUUACCCCAUGGUAUGGAUGGUGCUGGCCCAGAAUAUUCCACGUGUCGCAUUGAGAGGUUUCUACAAGGUUGUGACCGCAGUGAAACCUCUGUGGAUGGAGAUGAUAUAAAUAUUCAGAUCCUGAACCCCACCACACCAGCUCAGUAUUUCCAUCUCCUUAGGAGACAAUUUCUGUUUGUUCCGGGUCAUCUUUGCUCUGGCUGUGAUUACUGUGCCCUGUGCUUCCAGGAAAUAUACCCGUACCUUUUCAUUUUCAUGGAAUGAUUGUCUGAGAGUCUUGUCCAUUCCCAACUGCUGAGUUGCAAAGAGAAUUGAGCAAAUAUCCAAAUGCCAAAGAAUAUAUAUGGGCACAGGAGGAACAUCGAACUAUGGGUGCCUGGUCUUUUGUUUCUCCAAGAUUUGAAAAUCUGGUAGGAUGUAAGUUGCAUUAUGUUGGAAGGGAUGUACUAGGAUUACCGGCUGUAGGAAUUGGACAUAUCCACAAAAUGCAAGCUGAUAAACUCAUCUCAGAUCUCUUUGGUUGAACUCAUGUCGAUUGUAAUUUCUGACAUAGCAUCAGACAAGAGGCAAACACCUGUCAGAACUGCCAAAUUUGUGGUUUUUGUUAGACUUAUGUAGUUUGGAUGGAAAUAGUGUAUGUGUUUACAAAAGACUCCAACAGCCUGAAUCAUGUUAAUUCAAUCAGAAUUUAAUACAGAUGUAAAAUAUUUGCAAUACUGACUUGCCUAAUGUCAGAUCUUUUUUGGAAGUAAAUGUUACAUCUUUCUUGAAAGUCUAGUUUUCCAU